AAAUAUCGGAGAGCCGACUUAGAUCUCCUUCCAGAACUCUGACAGCAAGCUCAAGUUCGGAUGGCUGCAUAUUGGCAAAGAAUAGUCCGGUAUUAUAAUGCAAGAGUCAAGCCAAAGGUCUUCCGACCAGAAUAUUUGGUCUUAAGAAAAGCAAAAAUCUCAAAACCUUUAGAUCAAGAAAAACUGUCUCCGAAUUGGGAAGGACCUUACAGAAUAUUCGAAACUCUUAGAUCGGAUGCAUAUCGGCUAGAAACCC
rnacentral:lncRNA from 1 species